GUGCGGCGGAGCUGAGACCCCGCGGGAGGGACCCCGGCUCCGGGCUGGGGUCGGGGGUUUGGGGAGGAAGAUCCAGCCUGGGGCCGGCAGGGCUGCCUCCGUUCCCCGGGGGUUUCGGGAGGGGACAAGGCAGCCCUGGGGUCCGGCCGAGCGCGGAGGAGGAGGAAGGCGGCGGGGCAGGUGAAGGCCGAACCUUUCUUCACAUUCCCCGCCGUUUCCUCUAGCCAAAAUCCUUGUAUUUUUAUAUUAAAAAUUAUACUUUAAAAAAAAAAUUAUUUUCCCUAGCUCCGGCCCGAAAUUACCCGUGGUUGUGGAGCCUCCUGGUGCUGGGAAAUGCUCCUGGUAGUGGCAAAAACCCCCCCCAAAACCCCCAAACGACAACAACAAAAAAACCCAGAAAAGCCCCACAUCAAAAUUCCAACAAAUCCUUCACGGCACGAGGGCAUCGGCGGGAUGUGGAGCAGGUUUUGUGUGUAGGGAUGUGUGCGGAGAGAGGGAGAAUCGAAAUAAGAAAAUACACAGAGAGAAGAGAUUCGGGGAGGAAAAAUAAAGCAGAAGGAAAAGGGAAAUAAAAGAAAAAGCACAGGAGGAAAAGGAGAAAAUGUAUACAGGAAAAAAAAAAAAGAGAGAGAAAGGGAAAGGAAGAGAGAGAGAGAAUGAGGAAAAAUAAAUUAAUGAAAACGAAAAAGGAAGGAACUAAGAAGAGACAGAGGAAAACCACAGAAAAAUGAAGGGACAAAAAAGGAGAAAGGCAAAGAAGCAAAUAAAGAAGGAAUAAAGGAACGAAAGAAAAAAAAUACACAGAAAUAAUGAAGGCAAGGAAGAAGAUGGGAAAAAAAAAUGAAGGAAAAAGAAGGGGAAAGGAAAAAUAAACGGAGGAAAGAAAUAAAAAGACAGAAAAAAAAAAUGAAGGAAAAAGAAGGGGAAAGGAAAAAUAAACGGAGGAAAGAAAUAAAAAGACAGAAAGAACGGCUAGAAUAGAAAAGAAUGGAAACCAAAAGGGAAGGGCGAAGGAAAAGCUCCAGAGCGAGGGAACAAGGAAGAGGAGGAGGAAGAAAAGAAAACAAAGACAGAAGGAAAAAAGGCCAGGGAAGAGAGAAGAAAGGAAAUGAAAACUGCAGCGCAUUAAAAAGGGGAGAAACGGGCAAGAGAGGCGAAGGCACGGGAAGGGUAAUGCGUGGAGAAGCAGCGUCGCUUAUACAAGAUGUUGAUGGAAUUUACUAUAUUAUUAAAGGAAAAAAAAAAAAUCCCCUUUCAAGAAUAAAGUGUAUCAACUUACAACACAACAGACGGCAGAGGGAUAAGUGAAACAGACAAAAGACAAACAAGAUAAUAAUCUGUUUCCAAUCAGUUAAGCCCUGUAGAAUUUGUAAUACGCGGUUUGCAUAUUCCCCCUGCGUUUUGUAAUUAAUUAUCUAUCUGUUCGGAUGCUCCGCCGCCGACUCUGUAGAUAUUACCAACUAUUUUUGGGGUUGUAGGCGGUGAUCGCGCCGGGGAAGGAGCGCGGAGCGGGGCCGGGCUCCGCGGCUCCGGCCGGCCCGAGGAUGCCGAGCCGGGCGCGGUGGGAGGCGGCGGCUCCGCGGCGCUCCGCGCUCCUCCGGGCGGGCGAGGCUGCUCCCCCCGCGCUCCCCUCCUUUCCCCUGGUAAGAGGGGGGACGGGGCAGGUUUUAACAUUAAACAAACCCAGCAAGCAUCUCCUCGCCGGGCCAUAGGCGUUUCUGAGUGACUGCGUUACAAAUUGUAAAUUUAAAUAGCUCACAGGAUUCAUUACCUCCCGCGUCUGAUUUCACCCAGCCGUGAAAAAUUGUCCUGGUGUACCACUGAGAAAGGGUUUGCUGCAAAGAGCCACAGUCUAAUCACCAGCUUUCUCUCGCCAACAAAAGUGUAAUUAUUUUGUUUUGGGUGUAAAUAUAACCCACGGUACAAAAAAAAAAAAAAAAAAAAAAAAAAAAAAAAAAAAAAAAAAAAAAAAAAANGGGAAAAAAAAAAGAUAAACCUCCAGCAGCGU
ensembl:lncRNA